AAAAAAAAAAAAAAAAAAAAAAAAAAAAAAAAAAAAAACGUGCGCAAAAAAAAAAAAAAAAAAAAAAAAAAAAAAAAAAAAAAAAAACAA